rnacentral:rRNA from 1 species
UACGAAGGGGGGCUAGCGUUGCUCGGAAUCACUGGGGCGUAAAGCGCACGUAGGCGGAUUGUUAAGUCAGGGGUGAAAUCCUGGAGCUCAACUCCAGAACUGCCUUUGAUACUGGGCGACCUUGAGUCCGGGAGAGGUGAGUGGAACUGCGAGUGUAGAGGUGAAAUUCGUAGAUAUUCGCAAGAACACCAGUGGCGAAGGCGGCUCACUGGCCCGGUACUGACGCUGAGGUGCGAAAGCGUGGGGAGCAAACAGGA